CCGGACAGUGCUGACCCCUGGGACACCUGUGAUGCCAAAGUGGUGAGCCCAGAGAACGGGAACCUGUGGGAUUGCCAGGAGCCCCAGCAGCCCAGAGAGAGGGAACACCAAUACAAACCUGACCCGCAGCAACCCAGACAGGGGGGGCCUCCAGGAGCCCAAAGUGGAGAGACCAGAGAGGUGAAACCCAGGGUUGGGUGGUUUGGCUGAAUCUUGGUAAUUUGUGUAUUUUGGUGGACUGAGUCUUGGUGUUUAGAGCGUUCGUGGUGACUUCUAGAGUGUGGAGGCGCAGAGGCCAACACUGGAACUGCAAUACCUCAGGGCAAAGGUGACCAGGGUCAGAGAGAGACACCCCUCUGAGUACAAUGGUCUCACCAUAAGCAUUUGCAGGCUCACGUUAAUGCAGCAGGCUUCAUUGGUAUCACCCAGCUGCCCUUUUUUCCUUAUAUGUACUCCCCGACAAUGUUCUCCCCUCUCUUGUCCCCCAUUGGUCCCAGUUUACUGCAAUGUUCCGCCCCUGUUACCUCAUUGGUUCCCCAGUUGCCUGCCCCUCCUCUGCACCACCUGUGCUCAGUUCCCAUUGGCCCUUGACCCUGAGGUCCGCCCCUUUCCCCCUGAUCAAACCCUGUGUCCUCAACCCCAUUUUGUCUCUGUCCCUGGACCCUCUACAUUGCAAUAAACUGUGUUUGGAGCUCUGCACAAAGAGCCGUCUCUGGCCUUGUCCAUCAGCAGGAUUUCUGAUUCCCAAACCUUGGGUGGAUGGAGGCUGCCAGGAAGAGGAAGAUGCCCCAGGACACCCAGGCAGAGACCAGGGAGGACAAAUCUCUGCGGCAGAACCUUGUGGAAGAGGCCAUUUUGAGCGACGCCACGGGGCAGGAAUCCAACGGGGAGGAAAAGCCACUGAGAUCCCCCAGGAGGAGGGGCUGCAAACCCAACCUCGGGUGCUGUGAGGAGGAAAGACCCACCCUGAGGCAGGAGGGUAGACAGAGCUUCAGCCAGGGAUCAGAGCUGGUGGCCCAUGGGCAGCUUCAUGGUGGGGAGAAGCCCUACAAGUGCUUGGAGUGUGGGAAGAGCUUCAGGCAGAGCUCACACCUGAUCAGCCACCAGAUGAUCCACACUGGGGAAUGGGCCUACGAGUGUGGGGAGUGUGGGAAGGGCCUCAGGUGCAGCUCAGAACUCGUCAGGCAUGAACGCAUCCACACUGGGGAAAGGCCCUACGAGUGUCCCCAUUGUCUGAAGAGGUUUCAGACCAGCUCCAGUCUCCUGCGCCAC